rnacentral:rRNA from 1 species
CAAUAGCGUAUAUUUAAGUUGUUGCAGUUAAAAAGCUCGGAGUUGGAUUUCGGUUGAGAACGGCCGGUCCGCCGUUUGGUGUGCACUGGCUGGUUUCAACUUCCUGUAGAGGACGUGCUCUGGCUUCACGGCUGGACGCGGAGUCUACGUGGUUACUUUGAAAAAAUUAGAGUGUUCAAAGCGGGCUUACGCUUGAAUAUUUCAGCAUGGAAUAACACUAUAGGACUCCUGUCCUAUUUCGUUGGUCUCGGGACGGGAGUAAUGAUUAAGAGGAACAGUUGGGGGCAUUCGUAUUUCAUUGUCAGAGGUGAAAUUCUUGGAUUUAUGAAAGACGAACUUCUGCGAAAGCAUUUGCCAAGGAUGUUUUCAUUAA